CGCUGAUUUUAGCGCUUGCGGAAGUCGCCUUAUACGCCAGCAUAUACGGUAUCUGCACAUCUUCUUUCAGGCACUUUCUUCAUGAACUGUGUUAAUAUCUUCAGUUUAAAUGCAUCCACAGGACAGCUUUCCAGAAAGGCUGGGAAACAUAGCUCUGUGGCUUUGCUUGGGGUGCAGAGAAAAGCAGUUGUGAGGCUGGCUAGAGACCUCAAAUCCCUAAUUCCUAAUUAAGUCAGGAGGCUCAGAGUCACCUUACUCUAACUAGAGAUGGGAGGAUCCUAGCUUCUGACCAUGUUGUCAUCAACACUAUCUUGGAGGCAGUGUCAAUUGUUCAUACAGCAAGGUUUAAAUUGGAACAAAACGGCCAUUAUAAAAUCACUUUAACAGUAGAGCAGCUAAAGGCAACUUCAGUUGUCCCUGCAGCUGGCUAGAGGCAAAAAUUCAGGUGAUGUCAUGAGGUUUGUUGCUUAACAAUGGUUAACAGUGGUUAGUGAGAAGGAUUGAGGGAAGACAGGACAGUUUUCUGGGUCUUGUAAUUUUUUCUUUAAUACCAAUAGAGUCUUGAGACAGUCCCACACUAUGAUUUGCUUAGUAAAUUUGCCUCCUCUGUUCAAAGGGUUCAGUGUCUUCUUUUGGCAGGUAUGUGUCUCUGGAAAUACCAAGAGCAAUGAAGAAAGUAGAAGGAGCAUCUCCAUGAAAUAACAGCAAGCCAUCAGGAGGAGCUGGUGGAAAAGAAUGCCAGAAUAACCGCUUUGGAAGAAGAAAAUAAAGCACUUGCCAGCAAUUUAGCACAUAUUGUGGAGGAAAACUAUGAGAUUAAAAAGAAACUCCAAAAAGCUGGAGAGGCUUGCCCAGCUGACCUCUGACACCACAACGUUAAUAGAGAGGCUGAGGCAAUGGGAGAUGGAGGCAAUGGAGGAGGAAGAAGAGAUGAGCUCCCAGGUACACCUAUUCACAAACGUUCGACCAACAUAGACAAAGAUGAGAUGCUAUGUUUAUUCGACAAAAGUGAAAUAAUCGUAAUGACAGGCUGUUGUUUCAUAGGAGAUUUACAUAGGAGUCAUGCAAAAAAAAAAGAAAAAAAAAAGAAAAGAAAAAUUUUCUCUCUGAUUUUUUCCAGUUUUCUUUUUUCUGAAAAUUCAAUUAAGAAUCCAAGAAGGAAACAAAAUGGUCAAGAUACCUCCCUACCAACAAUCAACAUUCACAAAUACUUUUUUUAUUCAAACAAUACCUAUAGGAUUGGGAAAAACGUUUUUUGAUGAACUAAAUACAAUAAUAUUGAAAUUUAUUUGGCAAGGAAAAAAAGCCAGAAUUAGACUGAAAAUGUUACAAGAAGCAAAAGAAAAUGGAGGACUUGGACUGCCAGACUGGAUGCUAUAUUAUCAAGCAACUAUAUUAAUAUGGAUAAAAGAGUGGACAAUGCUUAGACAAAAGAUUACUAGACCUAGUGGGGAUGACCUACAACUGGAAUGGCAUGCCUUUCUGUGUUAUGGGAAGAAUAAAAUACAUAGAUAUUUUCAAAAUCAUUAUAUAAGAAAUGCACUUUUCUUAAAAUGGGAAAAAAC